rnacentral:rRNA from 1 species
AGCGAACGCUGGCGGCAGGCCUAACACAUGCAAGUCGAACGAACCUUUCGGGGUUAGUGGCGGACGGGUGAGUAACACGUGGGAACGUGCCUUUAGGUUCGGAAUAACUCAGGGAAACUUGUGCUAAUACCGAAUGUGCCCUUCGGGGGAAAGAUUAAUCGCCUUUAGAUCGGCCCGCGUCUGAUUAGCUAGUUGGUUGAGGUAAUGGCUCACCAAGGCGACGAUCAGUAGCUGGUCUGAGAGGAUGAUCAGCCACAUUGGGACUGAGACACGGCCCAAACUCCUACGGGAGGCAGCAGUGGGGAAUCUUGCGCAAUGGGCGAAAGCCUGACGCAGCCAUGCCGCGUGAAUGAUGAAGGUCUUAGGAUUGUAAAAUUCUUUCACCGGGGACGAUAAUGACGGUACCCGGAGAAGAAGCUCCGGCUAACUUCGUG